rnacentral:ncRNA from 2 species
ACUUCAUAGCAACAGCAAGGUUCCCUGGGGUUCAACCCCGGGGUGAAAAGGGAAGCCGGUGUAAUUCCGGCACGGUCCCGCCACUGUAAACACUGAUCCGCUUAACAAAGCCACUGUGAACAAUUGUUCAUGGGAAGGCGUUUUGCCGGAUGCGACGUGUGAGUCAGGAGACCUGCCAUGCUGUAUUUUCAAAC